rnacentral:rRNA from 1 species
CGGCGAGUGAGCGGCAAAAGCUCAAAUUUGAAAUCUGGUACCUUUGGUGCCCGAGUUGUAAUUUGGAGAGUACCACUUUGGGACUGUACUUUGCCUAUGUUCCUUGGAACAGGACGUCAUGGAGGGUGAGAAUCCCGUGUGGCGAGGGUGUCAGUUCUUUGUAAAGGGUGCUCGAAGAGUCGAGUUGUUUGGGAAUGCAGCUCUAAGUGGGUGGUAAAUUCCAUCUAAAGCUAAAUACAGGCGAGAGACCGAUAGCGAACAAGUACAGUGAUGGAAAGAUGAAAAGAACUUUGAAAAGAGAGUGAAAAAGUACGUGAAAUUGUUGAAAGGGAAGGGCAUUUGAUCAGACAUGGUGUUUUGCGCCCCUUGCCUCUCGUGGGCUUGGGACUCUCGCAGCUCACUGGGCCAGCAUCGGUUUUGGCGGCCGGAAAAAACCUAGGGAAUGUGGCUCUGCGCCUCGGUGUAGAGUGUUAUAGCCCUGGGGAAUACGGCCAGUCGGGACCGAGGACUGCGAUACUUGUUAUCUAGGAUGCUGGCAUAAUGGUUAUAUGCCGCCCGUCUUGA